GUAGGUGGCAAGCGUUGUCCGGGAAUUAUUGGGGCGUAAAGCGCGCGCAGGCGGUUCUUUAAGUCUGAUGUGAAAGCCCACGGGCUCAACCGUGGAGGGUCAUUGGAAACUGGAGAACUUGAGUACAGAAGAGGAAAGCGAAAUUCCACGUGUAGCGGUGAAAUGCGUAGAGAUGUGGAGGAACACCAGUGGCGAAGGCGGCUUUCUGGUCUGUAACUGACGCUGAGGCGCGAAAGCGUGGGGAGCAAACAGGAUUAGAUACCCUGGUAGUCCACGCCGUAAACGAUGAGUGCUAAGUGUUAGGGGGUUUCCGCCCCUUAGUGCUGCAGCUAACGCAUUAAGCACUCCGCCUGGGGAGUACGGCCGCAAAGGCUGA
rnacentral:rRNA from 1 species